rnacentral:rRNA from 1 species
ACGGGGGGGGCAAGCGUUGUUCGGAAUUACUGGGCGUAAAGGGCGCGUAGGCGGCCUGCUAAGUCACACGUGAAAUCCCUCGGCUCAACCGGGGAACUGCGUGUGAUACUGGCGGGCUUGAAUUCGGGAGAGGUGAGUGGAAUUCCCAGUGUAGCGGUGAAAUGCGUAGAUAUUGGGAGGAACACCAGUGGCGAAGGCGGCUCACUGGACCGGAACUGACGCUGAGGCGCGAAAGCGUGGGGAGCAAACAGGA